rfam:Bacillus thuringiensis serovar israelensis ATCC 35646 sq1807, whole genome shotgun sequence.
GUGAACGAAUUCACAUACAAACAUAUACCCCUUUGUUUGAACGUGAAAAUUUCUCCCAUCCCCUUUAAUAUUUUUAUAAGCCGUAAAGAAAAAGACCUGGUGUUUACACCAGGUCUUUUUC